AACGAACGCUGGCGGCAUGCCUAACACAUGCAAGUCGAACGAGACCUUCGGGUCUAGUGGCGCACGGGUGCGUAACGCGUGGGAACCUGCCCUUAGGUUCGGAAUAACUCCCCGACAGGGGUGCUAAUACCGGAUAAUGUCUUCGGACCAAAGAUUUAUCGCCUUUGGAUGGGCCCGCGUUGGAUUAGCUAGUUGGUAGGGUAAAAGCCUACCAAGGCGACGAUCCAUAGCUGGUCUGAGAGGAUGAUCAGCCACACUGGGACUGAGACACGGCCCAGACUCCUACGGGAGGCAGCAGUGGGGAAUAUUGGACAAUGGGCGAAAGCCUGAUCCAGCAAUGCCGCGUGAGUGAUGAAGGCCUUAGGGUUGUAAAGCUCUUUUACCCGGGAUGAUAAUGACAGUACCGGGAGAAUAAGCUCCGGCUAGCUCCGUG
rnacentral:rRNA from 1 species